ensembl:lncRNA
GCCAGUGCCAUCUGUAGGUGGAUGCUUUUUCAUCUCAGCUGAAUGAUUCCUACGGAAACAGCCUACAGCAAAAGUGAUUAAGCCACUGGUUGAUGUGCCUGGGAGCCACAGCAUAUGCCUUUGGACACUAACGAAAGGAAUUUUCCCAAGGAAUGUGUUCUUGAUAGCUGAAUGGAAUUAUUUGUAGGAAGACUGAAAAGGAUUUAAACAAAACCUUGAGAGCUUCAUUGAUCUGAGUAAAAUCAGCCGUCUUCCUGUCAUACCACGUUCAGCAAGACUGAAGGGAAGACCAUCCAGAUAGCAAGGCCACCACUGUCACAGCUGAGGCCUCAAUGGUUCCCUGAUCCUGUGAUGCUCAAGGGCAAGAUUACAUCAGCUGAAGCUUCCUGGUUCUUUGGGAAUGGAGUAGUAAGAAUAUUUUGCUCAUCUCACCGUCUUCAUCAACAUAAGAUCUUCAUCAAGAUAGGAUUACUGCCACCCUCUGAGUCAUCUGAUACUCCCUCUGAUUAUUGUAUGAACCCAAUAAAUAGUGGCUAGCUCAGAGUGUCUUAGUGUUUGCCUACUGUGAGGCACUGAUUUUCCAGACCCC